rnacentral:rRNA from 1 species
AUGGUCUACCGUACCAUAGCUGCAGUGAAGAGGAUCACCGGAUCCGGGACACCAGACCAGCGCGCGGCGCGAGCGCGAGAGCGGCCGGAGGAUAAGUCGGUCAGCACUUGGGCGGUCCUUCAGGCGUAUGCUCUGAUGGCUGUAGCGGGAUUAGGCUACCUCGCGCUCACAUGGUCGACGGUAGUCCUCCUGGGUGGCUUCGUCACCUCGCUGGAGGAGAAGGAUUUUUGGUGCCUCACAGGCAUUAGCAUGGUACAGGCGGCCAGGUCAGUCCUUCUGAUGCUUCUUUCUAUGCACUCUUGUUCCUCUGGUUUGGCUCUGCUAUCUUCACGUCCGUCGCCUCGUGCUCGUCAAUGGCCCACCCCCCAUCGGCCUCCGUACCUCUAA